UAUUGAGUUAAGAGAAAUACAACAAUAUACUAAAAUUUGAACAAUACAGAGAAGAUUAGCGUGGCCCCUCCGCAAGGAUGACACGCAAAAUCAUGAAGCGUUCCACAUUGCG
rnacentral:snRNA from 1 species